rnacentral:rRNA from 1 species
CUCCGGUGAUCCCGCCGGACCCGACUGCUAUCAGAGUGGGACUAAGCCAUGCGAGUCAACGUAGCAAUACGUGGCAUACGGCUCAGUAACACGUAGUCAACAUGCCCAGGGGACGAGGAUAACCUCGGGAAACUGAGGAUAAACCUCGAUAGGCCAUGAUUUCUGGAAUGAUUCUUGGCUCAAACCUAUAUGGCCCCUGGAUUGGACUGCGGCCGAUCAGGCUGUUGGUGAGGUAAUGGCCCACCAAACCUAUUACCGGUACGGGCUCUGAGAGGAGGAGCCCGGAGAUGGGCACUGAGACAAGGGCCCAGGCCCUAUGGGGCGCAGCAGGCGCGAAACCUCUGCAAUAGGCGAAAGCUUGACAGGGUUACUCUGAGUGAUUUCCGCUAAGGGAAUCUUUUGGCACCUCUAAAAAUGGUGCAGAAUAAGGGGUGGGCAAGUCUGGUGUCAGCCGCCGCGGUAAUACCAGCACCCCGAGUGGUCGGGACGAUUAUUGGGCCUAAAGCAUCCGUAGCCGGUCCUGCAAGUCUUCCGUUAAAUCCAGCUGCUCAACAGAUGGGCUGCGGGAGAUACUACAGGGCUAGGAGGCGGGAGAGGCAAGCGGUACUUUAUGGGUAGGGGUAAAAUCCGCUGAUCCAUAGAAGACCACCAGUGGCGAAGGCGGCUUGCCAGAACGCGCUCGACGGUGAGGGAUGAAAGCUGGGGGAGCAAACCGGAUUAGAUACCCGGGUAGUCCCAGCUGUAAACGAUGCAGACUCGGUGAUGGGUUGGCCUCGCGCCUGCCCAGUGCCGCAGGGAAGCCGUUAAGUCUGCCGCCUGGGGAGUACGGUCGCAAGACUGAAACUUAAAGGAAUUGGCGGGGGAGCA